UUGAUACUUGAGAGGAGUUGUCCCUAGUACGAGAGGACCGGGAUGAACAAACCUCUGGUCUACGAGCUGUUCUGCCAAGGGCAAUGCUCGGUAGCUAUGUUUGGUUCUGAUAAGCACUGAAAGCAUAUAAGUGCGAAGCAGGCCUCAAGAUUAGGUAUCAUAGAUCCGCAGUAGAUGACUGCGUUGAUAGGGCUCAGGUGUACGUGCUGUGAGGCACUUAGCCGAGAGCUACUAAUAGAUCA
rnacentral:ncRNA from 1 species